CGAGGAGGAGGAGGAGGAGGAGAAGAUUAGACUCUGGUCUCGUUUGGAUACAUGUAUCGUUAUGAAAUACAGAUAGAUUCGGCUGGGUUCGGCUAAAGAUUAACUUUCCCUUAGCACUGUAGGUAUCACGUGUUUUAAAUUAUUCGCACGGAUAAAAAAAUCCCGGUAAUUUUAGAGAGAAAAUAAUAAAGCUUGUAAUUGUAGUAAAA